rnacentral:hammerhead_ribozyme from 1 species
ACAUUACUGAGGAGUCCCAUACUAGGGACGAAACGGCCGUCCAGUGU